rnacentral:lncRNA from 1 species
GCACAGCACACACAGCACAGCACAGCACACACAGCACAGCACAGCACACACAGCACAGCACACACAGCACAGCACACACAGCACAGCACAGACAGCACAGCACAGCACAGCACACACAGCACAGCACAGCACAGCACACACAGCACAGCACAGCACACACAGCACAGCACAGCACACACAGCACAGCACAGCACACACAGCACAGCACA